GAAUCCCGUAGAAUGGAAAUGACGCCCAUCAAGAUAUUGAUUUUAUUGUGUUUUUUGGCGGAAAUCAUAUUCCUAAUCUGUAGGUCACAGGUUCGAUUCCUGUCGGGAUCACCA
rnacentral:tRNA from 1 species